UACAGAGGGUGCAAGCGUUAAUCGGAUUUACUGGGCGUAAAGGGCGCGUAGGUUGUUAUUUAAGUUGGAUGUGAAAUCCCUGGGCUUAACCUAGGAACUGCAUUCAAAACUGGAUGACUUGAGUACUGUAGAGGGUAGUGGAAUUUCCGGUGUAGCGGUGAAAUGCGUAGAGAUCGGAAGGAACACCAGUGGCGAAGGCGGCUACCUGGACAGAUACUGACACUGAGGCGCGAGAGCGUGGGGAGCAAACAGG
rnacentral:rRNA from 1 species